UGCGUUAAUCAAACUUUGGUUGCGAAAUCAGCGCGCAUAAUCUUUAAAUAUAGACCCCCUAUUCGUUGUUGAUCGGUUGCCAUCUGCUCAGAUUUACUUUUGGAGGACUAUAGAACAGUUUGAGAGGUUGAAUUGAUUAGAAUGAAGAAGCACAGAAAUGAGAAAGCUGAGAACGUGAAAGAAAACUGUGAUGAAUGGUUGUCCACUAGAAACCGAAAGAAGGCUUCUAUGCGAAAUAUGCCGAAGAAGAUCUCAAGCGCUAGGAAGUUGCCUGGUCCAUGGAAGCUGACACAGAACUCACCUCCUCCCAGGCAGUUAUCCAUUCCAACUCACCAAACGAUGAUGACCAGUUACUUGUUGAAAGGAGGGCAAACAUAUCUUGAUAAAAACCUAGGAGGUAUAGUGAAGCCAUCGCAUGUGAGAGGAGGGUCUGAGAUAGAGAUGGAAUUGAAACCUGAUCCUGUUGCAGUUAUGGAAAUAAAUAACAGCCAACACUUCAAACCCGAUCUUUCUGUGGAUUGUAAAGGUAUUUCAUUCUAUGAUCACAUUCUAGUACCAAAGAAAGAGUCUAAUUUUACCAGAAACGAUCAGUACAAGUCAACGAAACAAUCACUUUUGGCAUCACCACGUCGCAGUUCUUAUGAAAGGCUUGAUUUGCAUCAAAAUGUUACACCGCUUCGUGAAAGAAUCAAUGUUUUAUCAGAAGGACAAGAAAGAAGUUUGAAUCAAGUGCAAGAUUGUAACGCCACUGACCAUUCUGUUGACCAUACCAUCAAUAAAGUUGCUGAUCACAGUCAGAACCGCAGAGUUCUUCAACAAAUAAACUCGGAAAAUAAUAAAUAUGGACUUAAGGAUUGCCAUACCAAAAAUGCAAGUACUCUUUUACCAAGAAGGCCCCGAGAAAUUACCAAACUACCAGACAAUGCAGAUUUAUACUUGUCACUGCUUCCUGAAGAUCACAAGGUCACUGUAAAUGCUGUGGGUACCACUGUCACUACAUGUGGUAGUGAUGAUGAUAGAGAAGAUGAUGGGGCUGAUAUUGCCAUUGGUGAAGAUUACAAUGACAAUAUCGAUGAAAGCUGUGAUGUUAUGAAUGGUGUCUGUGUUGGUCGUGGUGAUUACACUGAAGAUUCCAAUUCAUUAGUUUUUUCACCCUUUAUUGAUUCCAAAAGUUCAAUGACUUUAUUUUUAACAUCUACCCAAGACGAAAGUUGUUCUUCUGAUGUCAAUCUAACAUUUGACUUUGAUGAUGCUGAAAGACUUACUUCAGAGCCUGUCUCUUCUCUUGUUCUUCUGGAAGAUAGUUUGUCAUUGAAAAACGAUCCAAUGAGUUUGGAUUCCGACAGUCUGUAUCUCUCUCAGAGCCAAUCUGAAAUUGACUCUCCAUCACUAGAUGAUUUUACAUUUCAUUAAAAUAGAUGAUGAUUCCAUGAAUAAUUUAAUCUCUAGCUUUUGGUAAAAUUUCAAUUCUAAAUUCUCUAAAGACUUGAGGAAAAACACCCCAAAACAGGAGUUUUUAUUUAAAAGAAUUUUCACAAUUUUCUCUCCUUCGUUGUUAUUGCAUAGUACUGAACUGUUCUCUUCAAUUCUGUACACAAAGAUCAGAUUGAUGUAAUUGUAUCUGCUUACUCUAUUCUUCUUUACAAUCCUGAAUCGGUUCAACUUUGUUAUUGAGAUGAGUUAGAAUUCACAGUUAUGUUGUCUAUGAAAUAGUUUACAUUUUUCUGUUGUAUUGCAAAUUGACACAAAUAUAAAAGCACUAAGAAUGAUUCUUGCUGGUUACAAGUAUCAAGUCUGCAGGCCUACAGAUCUAAUUUUAACUGGGCUAGUUUAACUUGUCAUCCUCUCAGCAUUAAUAAAAUAAGUGGUCAGCAUUUCAGCUUCUUCUUAUAUAUGAGGGGCUCAAACAUAUUAGGGUGUCCAGCAUUUCAGCUUUUUGUAAUAUAUGAGGGCCUCAAACAUAUUGGGGUGUCCAGCUGAACUGAGUCUUUGAUACAGCAUGUUUGCAGCAGGUCAUUGUUGGAAGUCUGUGCUAUCUUUGGAAAACAAAA
rnacentral:misc_RNA from 1 species